AGGCAAUUAACAUAAUGCUACAAUAUGAAAUUUAAACGUUUAAGUAUGAUGAUAUUAUACUAAAAUGACACCAUUUAAAACCAUGAACCUAAUCUGAGCCAAGUGUUGCUGUUAAAGAGCCAUCCAUCUGUCUCUGAAAAUCUGCCACAUCAUUUAUAACCGAUUUGAUUAUUUAUGCUUGGUUACAAUAACGUCAACUUCGGAACGUGCGUAUCGUUCCUAGGGAUUCCAGUUUUCAUCGAAUGUGAAGGUAUAAUUCAAAUAAGCGUACUAGUAUUUACAUCAGAGCAGAAUACACGUGACAAAACGAGAGUGCUGAGUAUGUCUUGGAUAAUCAUCCUCUGUCUGGCUAUUAUAAGUAUAGAACAGUGUGUAGCCUGUUCUUGUUCCAGGGUUAACGGGAACCUGCGCAACCAAUUUUGCAAGGAUGAUAUUGAGCUAAUCGUGAGGGGCGUGGUCCUGAACGAGACGCUAUUGACACGCCGAAAAGAUGACCCUUUUGACGACCAAUUCUUGUAUGGGUUUGAAAUAACAAAUAUCGUCCAGGCAACUUCGACUGCUUUAGCACGAGUUGGAGGGGAAAACGUGGUCUAUCUACACACGGCGGCGUUUGGCUCCCUGUGUGGCGUACAGUUGACUGUCGGCACAGACUACGUCAUCACAUUCGAUUCCUACAGUUGGGAUUGGAGUCAGCAGGGAUCAUUUAUGGUAUAUUUGUGUGGAUAUCACAUACAUGUACCUUACGAUGACCUGUUUCCUGGUGAACUUGAAGUGCUCGAGGAAGGAGACUUAGAUUGUACCAACAUCAAUGGAGAAGUAGAGUGCAAACCCAAAGAAGAUGGCGGAAUGCAGUGCUGUCGACACACAGGGCUGUCGGGGAGGGGACCUGAUGAAUGCUUCGAUGUCGAAGAUUCCAAUGAGCAAUAACAGAUCAUCACAGUGUCUCAGUAUAACAAACCUGGGCCGGUACUGAACAAGUUCGCCGUAUUGUCAAUUGAUGACGCAUCGUCGUUCGUAUUACCAUAUUGUAUUGGACCAAACCUUGCUAUUGCAAAUAAACAAGAUCAUUAGAAAUAUGGUUUACGUUCUUUUCUUUUUAUCGACACUAGUUUACAAUACAUACAUACAUGUAUAUGCGACUUAGUUUCUAUUGGAACACUCUGGUACAGAUACUUUAGAUAAAUACGUCACUUUCUUAGUUCCAACUUUGUUGUGUUCAAAUGGAAUUAAUUUCAGUAGUAACUACUCCUUUUACAUUUCAGUAACAGAGAUGAUUUGUUUUCUUAUGAUAAUCUGCCUUGUUGGGACGUUAUGUCAACACAUAUGAAUAUAAAGCUUUAUCAGAGCAAUAUUCAAAACCUCGGACAUUUAACGAUUUUAUGAGGAUGGAAAGAUCGGACAGUUGAGACAAGUAGACAAAUAUGGUGUAGUCGUGACAUUAUUGGUUGGAUAAACAAGAACUAUUAAAAUAAAUAUACAAUUGCCAUAGAUAAUGUCACAUACAUACUGCCCCCGGUUUUCAGUUAAUAAUGACAGAUAACACAGACAAUUACUCAAUUGUACAUCCAUUAUUUUAAUAUGAAGUCCACGUUUAUGACAUUCUGAACGUAUGUUUAGCAUCAGAUAUAACGGUUCAACACUGAAUUGAUCCAGCUGUGAAUUUUUUUCCCGCUUGCUGAAACUUGAACUGUGUUCAUCUUCGGAAGAGUUUAAUGAUGGAAAUCCACAGGAUCCUUGUUGCGUUCGUACUCGCAGUGUUUGUUUUAGAUGGUAAAAAUGUUGAAGCAUGCUUCUGUCCGAAAUCUCACCCGCAGACAGACUUCUGUCAUCUCAGUAGCUUUGCUAUUGUUGGGUUUGUCAAUGACGUCACCGAGAAUCAGAAGGACAGAAGAUUCUCUGUGACCGUUCAGCACAUGUUAAAGCUUCCUGACAGUUAUACUGUUACAGACAAGGAACAGCUCGACCUGAUAUCUUACAAAGGGCCUACAUUGUGUGAACUAGAACUAGAGCCAGGACGACUGUACUUAAUCACAGGAUAUGUGAGCACCGACAACGUCUACCUUGUGAACUCCUGCCUGUGGACAGAAGAUUUCAAUGCUCUGUCACUCAACAAGUUUAACGGCCUUCUCGGGGACUAUGACUGCAGCUGCUAUAUAAAUGAUUGGGGACUGAUACCACCACACGCAACCCCUAGUGAUGUCUGUAACUAUGACCAAACAUCUAACUGUGAAAAGGCAGCAUGCAUGAGAAAUGAACUCGGAACGUGCGAAUGGAUUCUGGACUGUACUGAUCAAAAGAGGACAAGUCCUGAUGUUCUCAGUUUGAAAACGAUAAUCAACAAAAAACUGAACAACAUCUUGUAAAUUUUUCUUUUUCAAUUCUUGACACAUUGUAUUUUUAUAUAAUUAUUCAGUCCAUCAUAUAACCAAUGAUAAAUUGAUUUCAAUCUGA